GGGGGAUUCAAGAAUUCCAUAAUCAUCGUUACGAAUCACAAAAACCUAAUCUCACAUUUCUCAAGACAAUUAAAACCCCGCAACCACUAUUAAUCUUCUCUUUUAUUUCUUUUUCUAAUAAAUUAUGCUAAUUACCGAGUUGAACAACAUCCACUGUGGAGACAAUAACAUACUAUUUUUUUUACUUAAUAUGAUUGGACGCACUUGUCUAUUUCGUCCAUCAGGUACAUUUCUCAAUCAUCGCAUGUACAAAAUCCUCUAUCGUAUUCAAGAAAUAAAAAAUCUGGCUUUG
rnacentral:lncRNA from 1 species